UAGAGAUGCGGUUUCGCCAUGUUGGCCAGGCUGGUCUUGAAGUCCCGACCUCAGGUGAUUCACCUACCUCAGCUUCCCGACGUACUGGGUUUACAGGCAUGAGCCACCGUUCCCGGCCAAGGAGGGCUCUGAGAGAUUUCAUUUCUGUCCUGCUGAUGAAGUCUACUUUCAUUCAGGGCCUGCUGUGGAAGACCAGCCCCCAAAGGAGAAGGAGUUUUGCUCUGUUGCCCAGGCUGGAGUGCAGUGGUGCAAUCUCAGCUUACUGCGGCCUCUGCCUCCCAGGUUCAAGCAAUUCUCCUGCCUCAGCCACCUGAGCAGCUGGGAUUACAGUUGCUGAACAGAAGACUUUUGAGAGUCAGCAGAAAUCUUCCACUUUGCAUGGUUCUCUUGAUGUGAAAUCAUCUAUAUAGCCCCAGAAUUGGAAAAGAAAA
rnacentral:antisense_RNA from 1 species